rnacentral:tRNA from 1 species
GCGCCCGUAGUUCAAUUGGAUAGAACACCAGAUUGCGGAUCUGGCGGUUGCAGGUUCGAGUCCCGCCGGGCGCG